rnacentral:rRNA from 1 species
CGGGUGACCUAUCCGUGAGGCGGGGAUACCCCUUCGAAAGAGGGGUUAAUACCGGAUGCGCCCACAGGCAGAGAUGCUUGGGGGCAAAGGAUGCUACUUAAUAGGGGCAUGUCUUCAUGGAGGGGCCCACGGCCUAUCAGCUAGUUGGUGCGGUAACGGCGCACCAAGGCGAAGACGGGUAGCUGGUCUGAGAGGAUGGCCAGCCACACGGGGACUGAGACACGGCCCCG